UUUUAGCCCUGAUGCAAGGGAAAAGCCUCGCCUUUUUUUGGCGAGCUUUGGAAAGGCAGCAGGAAAAUGG
rnacentral:sRNA from 1 species